CCUACGGGGGGCAGCAGUGGGGAAUAUUGCACAAUGGGGGAAACCCUGAUGCAGCGACGCCGCGUGAAGGAUGAAGUAUUUCGGUAUGUAAACUUCUAUCAGCAGGGAAGAAAAUGACGGUACCUGACUAAGAAGCCCCGGCUAAAUACGUGCCAGCAGCCGCGGUAAUACGUAUGGGGCAAGCGUUAUCCGGAUUUACUGGGUGUAAAGGGAGCGUAGGCGGCAGGGCAAGCCUGAUGUGAAAGCCCGGGGCUCAACCCCGGGACUGCAUUGGGAACUGCCCCGCUCGAGUGCCGGAGGGGCAG
rnacentral:rRNA from 1 species